AGUGAACGCUGGCGGCGUGCCUAAUACAUGCAAGUCGAACGCAGUGGCGCACGGGUGAGUAAUAUAUAGUUAAUCUGCCCUACACCGCGGAACAACAGUUGGAAACGACUGAUAAUACCCCCUAGUGUAGGAUGAGACUAUAUCGUAUCAGUUGGUUGGGAAGGUAAUGCCUUACCAAGGCUAUGACGCGUAACCGGUCUGAGAGGAUGAGCUGUCACAUUGGAGCUGAGUCACGGUACAGACUCCUACGGGAGGCAGCAGUAAGUAAUAUUGCGCAAUGGGGGAAGCCCUGACGCAGCAACGCCGCGUGGAGGAUGACACUUUUCGGAGCGUAAGCUCCUUUUAUCAGGAAAGCGGUACCUGAUCAAUAAGCGCCGGCUAACUCCGUGCCAGCAGCCGCGGUAAUAC
rnacentral:rRNA from 1 species